GGUUUGGCGGGAAUGGGGAUGACUCUGGGAGUUUAUACAAAGACUGUUCAUUCAUUUCAUGUAACAAAUGUUUCUGGAUCCCAGACAAUAUUGAGGCCCAGCUUCAGGUCUCAGACAAUAUUGAUUCUGGAUCCCAGACAAUAUUGAAGCCCAGCUUCAGGUCUCAGUUCUGACUCUUCCCUUCCUGGCAGUCACAGGUUCUAGAGGUGAAGGUCACCAGAUUGGGCAACCUCGUGAACCACCUGAUUCCCGAACUUGAGUAAGGUUAAAAAUACUGCCUGCCAGCUGUGCCUGCUGCUGCCAAGGAAAGGAACACACAAGAUUGUGCCCUGUCAGGCCCCAGCGGACAGUGGGGCCCUGGUAGGGAGGGCAAAAGGAAAGGGCUCUGGAGAGCAAGUGGGGACCCUCUGCCCAUCUUGCCAGGGAAGGAGAAGAUAGGCCUGAGGGCCUGCUUGGUGGGACUAGUGAUGGAAGUGGAGGUUUUAGGGGAGAUGGGAAUUGUAUCUGGAGGGCAAAUGCCAGGUGGUGGGAAACCACUUGCCAGGCUGAAAAUCCUGCUGGCUGCAGUGCAGGGGGGGUGAGGCUGAAGAGGUACGUGGCAGUUGGCAGUUGGGGUGAAGGGCCUUGAAUGUAGAGCCAAGAAGCAUGGGCUUUAUCCUGGAAGCAGCAGGGAUCUGUGGAUGGGUUUUAAGCUAGGAAGAUGUUUCAGUUUGGAUUUUCUGGAAGGAGACCCUGAGAGGAGGAUUUGUGUCCAAGUGAUUUGUUAAGAAAGUGCUUAUGGAAGGGAGUAGGGGAAGCAAGAAAGGGACAGGCAAGAGGCCAGGCGAGGAGUGAUCUCACACAAAAGUUCAGAGCCAAAGUUCUGCCUCAGAGCUGGAGGCCACAGAGCUAACUAAGUUCCACAGUCAUUGAUAAACUCCUCCAUUUGACAACCGUUGGUUAAUGUCUGUCUUGGGAAGUGUGGGUGGGGAGGUACUUGAACUUCCGGGCCAAAAAAAUCAGUUUUCAGCUUUUUCAGGCAAAACAGCUCUAUUGGCCUGAGGGGCAGUUCGAUAAAGAAGAGCCUCUGGUGCUGGCUUUUGAAAGCACAUCAAAGGGUGCAACCAUAUUUCCAUACCGAAAAAAAAGAACUCCAGGACACUUGGCAGAGGAAACGUCAAGCUUGUCUCGGGGCCGCGAAGAUGGCCGCAGCAACCAAUGAGCUCCGGCCACGUCACAGACCCCACCCUCCAGCCUGCCGCGGCCUCCGCCACGCGUCGCUGACCCGGAGCUGAAAGCGCUGCGCGGCGCCGGAGUCUGGCGUCACUUCCACUACAGCGAUGGCGGCACAGGCAGCUGCUGCGGCAGUUGCGGCGGCGACUUCAGGGAUCUCGGGGGAGAGCGAGCCCGGGCCCGGGGAGAAUGCGGCAGUCGAGGGAACUGCCCCGUCGUCCCCGGGCCGCGUCUCUCCGCCGACGCCGGCGCGCGGCGAGCCGGAAGUCACCGUGGAGAUCGGAGAAACGUACCUGUGCCGGCGGCCGGAUAGCACCUGGCAUUCUGCUGAAGUGAUCCAGUCUCGAGUGAAUGAUCAGGAGGGCCGAGAGGAAUUCUAUGUACAUUACGUGGGCUUUAACCGGCGACUGGACGAAUGGGUAGACAAGAACCGGCUGGCACUGACCAAGACAGUCAAGGAUGCUGUGCAGAAGAACUCAGAGAAGUACCUGAGUGAGCUGGCUGAGCAGCCUGAGCGCAAGAUCACUCGCAACCAGAAGCGCAAGCAUGAUGAGAUCAACCACGUGCAGAAGACCUAUGCAGAGAUGGACCCCACGACAGCAGCCUUGGAGAAGGAGCAUGAGGCGAUCACCAAGGUGAAGUAUGUGGACAAGAUCCAUAUUGGAAACUAUGAAAUCGAUGCCUGGUACUUCUCGCCAUUCCCUGAAGACUAUGGGAAGCAGCCCAAGCUCUGGCUCUGCGAGUACUGCCUCAAGUAUAUGAAAUAUGAGAAGAGCUACCGCUUCCACUUGGGCCAGUGUCAGUGGCGGCAGCCCCCAGGAAAGGAAAUCUAUCGCAAGAGCAACAUCUCUGUGUACGAGGUGGAUGGCAAAGACCACAAGAUUUACUGUCAGAACCUGUGUCUGCUGGCUAAGCUUUUCCUGGACCACAAGACAUUGUACUUCGACGUGGAACCCUUCGUCUUUUACAUCUUGACUGAGGUGGACAGGCAGGGAGCACACAUCGUCGGCUACUUCUCUAAGGAGAAGGAGUCUCCAGAUGGUAACAACGUGGCCUGCAUCCUGACCCUGCCCCCCUACCAGCGCCGUGGCUACGGAAAGUUCCUCAUUGCUUUCAGAUCCUCAUUUCCAUCACUGCCAGGUUAUGAGCUAUCCAAGCUAGAGAGCACAGUAGGCUCCCCCGAGAAGCCACUGUCUGACUUGGGCAAGCUCAGCUACCGCAGCUACUGGUCUUGGGUCCUGCUGGAGAUCCUGCGAGACUUCCGGGGUACACUGUCUAUCAAGGACCUUAGCCAGAUGACCAGUAUCACCCAGAAUGACAUCAUCAGCACCCUACAGUCCCUCAACAUGGUCAAGUACUGGAAGGGCCAGCAUGUGAUCUGUGUCACACCCAAGCUGGUAGAGGAACACCUCAAAAGUGCCCAAUAUAAGAAACCACCCAUAACAGUGGACUCUGUCUGCCUCAAAUGGGCACCCCCCAAGCACAAGCAAGUCAAACUCUCCAAGAAGUGAGUGGCCCCUGCCUCUGCUGCUGGACCUGUGCCUCCUUGCCCCCUAGCCUGUAAAUAUGUACAGACCUGUUUCAUCAUUUUUUUAAUAAACUGGUACCUUGGGAAGCAAUGAGCAGCCGACAGCACCCACAGCUCAGACAGAAGAGAACCGCCACACACGUGGGUGCCAUCGUAGGUGAUGCUGACCUGCCAGGGCCACUGGCCAGGGGCUGCACUGC